rnacentral:misc_RNA from 1 species
GGAAAGUAAAAGUCGUAACAAGGUUUCCGUAGGUGAACCUGCGGAAGGAUCAUUACUGAGUGAGGGCCCCUCGGGGUCCAACCUCCCACCCGUGUUUAACGAACCUUGUUGCUUCGGCGGGCCCGCCUCACGGCCGCCGGGGGGCAUUUGCCCCCGGGCCCGCGCCCGCCGAAGCCACCUGUGAACGCUGUCUGAAGUAUGCAGUCUGAGACAAUUAUUAAAUUAAUUAAAACUUUCAACAACGGAUCUCUUGGUUCCG